rnacentral:lncRNA from 1 species
UCACAUUCAGUGUUACAAUUGUCAAAGAUAUGGUCACUAUUCUAGUGAUUGUCCAGAAAAGCAGAAGAAUCAAGAAACUUAUGCAAAGCUGGCAAAACAUGAAGAAGAAGAGACGUUGUUGAUGGUUACAACAAGAGAAGAAGAGAGAUUCAAGGAGUCACUAUUCUAGUGAUUGUCCAGAAAAGCAGAAGAAUCAAGAAACUUAUGCAAAGCUGGCAAAACAUGAAGAAGAAGAGACGUUGUUGAUGGUUACAACAAG